rnacentral:tRNA from 3 species
GCUCAGGUGGUGGAAUGGUAGACACGCUACUUUGAGGUGGUAGUGCCUUCGUGGUGUGGGGGUUCAAGUCCCCCCCUGAGCA